AAAAAAAAAAAAAAAAAAACCAUGAAUUUUCCUGAGUUACACUAACAGCCCUCCACAAAGGCAUCUAAGAGGUCCGUUCCAUAUUGAAAGACCAUAAGCCAAUAUUGAAAUUUGAAAUAUACAUUGUAAGACAAAUCUUUUCGCAAAGAUAUGCUAAUAAACAUGAACCAAAUGGGUAUAAGCGCAUCCCUCAGAAUUUGUUUGUCAUCAAUUCAAUGGAGAUUAGCCCACUACUUUUACAUAUAAACAUCAUUCUUCAUAGGGAUGCAAGCCAAAAUUUUAGAAGAAGAGAAUGAGCAAAAGGGUAUGUAAAACAACUCUCAUUAGCAUAAAAAAAAAAUAAAUAAUAAAUAAAUAAUUGGUCGAUGGAUAAAACUUUUAUCUUGCUGUGAAUACCUGCAAUAGAGGGCAGAAACUCAAGCAAAUAAAAAACCCAUAAUUAAAGAAGUGAUAAAACAAUAAUUAAAGCCAAAAUUUGCAAACACCAAAGGAAUCAAACACCAAAGGAAUCAAACCCCAUUAGUUUACCAAUCAAAGAUAUACUUUCUUCUUUUUUCCUUUCCUUUCUCCCAUUUUUACGGCUACUGAAAUGAGAAUCGACUUCAACCUACAGCAACCAAUUUAAUUGAGAUUUGCCAUAUAAGAGAAGCUAAAGGCAAAGCUAAUUGCGG
rnacentral:misc_RNA from 1 species